rnacentral:rRNA from 1 species
UCGAACGUAAGAUGACUGUAGGUGAAAGCUUACAUCUCUUCGGAGCAUUUUACGAGGUGCUGCAUGGUUGUCGUCAGCUCGUGCCGUGAGGUGUCGGGUUAAGUCCCAUAACGAGCGCAACCCUACCUUUAGUUGCCAUCAGGUAAUGCUGGGGACUCUAAAGGAACUGCCUACGCAAGUAGUGAGGAAGCGGGGAUGACGUCAAAUCAGCACGGCCCUUACGUCCAGGGCUACACACGUGCUACAAUGGCCGAUACAGAGGGCAGCUACCUGGUGACAGGAUGCAAAUCUCCGAAGUCGGUCUCAGUUCGGAUCGGAGUCUGCAACCCGACUCCGUGAAGUUGGAUUCGCUAGUAAUCGCGCAUCAGCCAUGGCGCGGUGAAUACGUUCCCGGGCCUU